UCUGUAUGUAUGUAUGUCUGCAUGUCAUUAUGAAUGUGUGUAUGUCUGUCUGUCUGUAUGAAUGUAUGUAUGCCAGUAUGAAUGUCUGUCUGUAUGUCAUUAUGAAUGUGUCUGUAUGUCCUUAUGUAUGUGUCUGUCACUAUGUACGCCUGUGUAUCUGUAUAUGUGUGAAUGUCUCAGUAUGUGUGUGUCAGUAUGUAUGCCUAUAUGUGUAUCAGUAUGUGUGUCUGUUAGUCUGUAUCAGUGUGUGUGUGUGUAUCUGUGUCCUUUUGUAUCAGUGAAUCUGUUUGUGUCUGUGUGUGUAUUCCUGUGGGCGGGAUUUAGAGGCGGUCUCUG